GACGAACGCUGGCGGCGUGCUUAACACAUGCAAGUCGAACGGAAAGGCCCUGCUUUUGUGGGGUGCUCGAGUGGCGCACGGGUGAGUAUCACGUGAGUAACCUGCCCUUUACUUUGGGAUAACUUCAGGAAACUCGGGCUAAUACCGGAUAUGAGCUCCUGCUGCAUGGUGGUGGUUUGAAAGUUUCGGCGGUUGGGGAUGGACUCGAGGCUUAUCAGCUUGUUGGUGGGGUAGUGGCUUACCAAGGCUUUGACGGGUAGCCGGCCUGAGAGGGUGACCGGCCACAUUGGGACUGAGAUACGGCCCAGACUGCUACGGGAGGCAGAAGUGGGGAAUAUUGCACAAUGGGCGGAAGCCUGAUGCAGCAACGCCGCGUGCGGGAUGACGGCCUUCGGGUUGUAAACCGCUUUCGCCUGUGACGAAGCGUGAGUGACGGUAAUGGGUAAAGAAGCACCGGCUAACUACGUG
rnacentral:rRNA from 1 species